rnacentral:rRNA from 1 species
UACAGAGGGGGCGAGCGUUGUUCGGAAUUACUGGGCGUAAAGCGCACGUAGGUGGCGACGUAAGUCGGGUGUGAAAGCCCCGGGCUCAACCUGGGAAUUGCAUUCGAGACUGCAUUGCUGGAGUACGGAAGAGGAGGGCGGAAUUCCACGUGUAGCGGUGAAAUGCGUAGAGAUGUGGAGGAACACCGAUGGCGAAGGCAGCCUUCUGGGCCAACACUGACGCUCAUGCACGAAAGCGUGGGAGCAACAGG